UGCAAGUCGAGCGCCCGUAGCAAUACGGGAGCGGCAGACGGGAGAGUAACACGUGGGAACGUACCUUUCGGUUCGGAAUAACCCAGGGAAACUUGGGCUAAUACCGGAUACGUCCGCAAGGAGAAAGAUUUAUCGCCGAAAGAUCGGCCCGCGUCCGAUUAGCUUGUUGGUGAGGUAACGGCUCACCAAGGCGACGAUCGGUAGCUGGUCUGAGAGGAUGAUCAGCCUCACUGGGACUGAGACACGGCCCAGACUCCUACGGGAGGCAGCAGUGGGGAAUAUUGGACAAUGGGCGCAAGCCUGAUCCAGCCAUGCCGCGCGGGUGAUGACGGCCUUAGGGUUGUAAAGCCCUUUCGGCGGGGAAGAUAAUGACGGUACCCGCAGAAGAAGCCCCGGCAAACUUCGUGCCAGCAGCCGCGGUAAUACGAAGGGGGCUAGCGUUGCUCGGAAUCACUGGGCGUAAAGCGCACGUAGGCGGGUCUUAAGUCAGGGGUGAAAUCCUGGAGCUCAACUCCAGAACUGCCUUUGAUACUGGAGACC
rnacentral:rRNA from 1 species